rnacentral:rRNA from 1 species
AUUGAACGCUGGCGGCAUGCUUUACACAUGCAAGUCGAGCGGGGUAGAGGGGCAACUCUCUAUUCAGCGGCGGACGGGUGAGUAAUGCAUCGGAACGUAUCCCGUAGUGGGGGACAACCCAGCGAAAGCUGGGCUAAUACCGCAUAUGCUCUGAGGAGGAAAGCGGGGGACCCAGCGGGCAACUGAGGGGCCUUGUGCUAUGGGAGCGGCCGAUGUCCGAUUAGCUGGUUGGUGAGGUAAAGGCUUACCAAGGCGACGAUCGGUAGCUGGUCUGAGAGGAUGAUCAGCCACACUGGGACUGAGACACGGCCCAGACUCCUACGGGAGGCAGC